GCGGGCGUAGCUCAAUGGUAGAGUCCCAGCCUUCCAAGCUGGUAGUUGUGGGUUCGAUUCCCAUCGCCCGCUCCA
rnacentral:tRNA from 1 species